ncrna:unclassified sequences DTF805b RNA
ACAGCGGAAACCGAAAAGCUUUAAGAGUAGGUG